AUGAAGAGCUUAAUUCCAAAAGGCGCUAAAUCCAUUUUUUACCAAAAUGGAGUUAUUAGUAUGAGUACAUACCAGUUGCACAUGCGCAUUUAAAUCACCAUUCCUUUUCUCAAAAUAAUUUUCAGAAAUAUGAAAUAAAUUGACACCAAAAAUGUGUUUAGUUCCAAAAGGCGCUAAAUCCAAAAGUGUUUAAUUCCAAAAGGCGCUAUAUCCACCUUGUGUGUUUUGAUCAAUCAGAGCGCAGUAUUGUUCCAGUGACCCGGAUUGACAACAGCUUUUAGCUUGCUGCUUGCAUCAAGAUCGAUCCUAUUUCUGCAGUAUUUACAGUGUUUUGAUAGUCUUUAGCUCACUUAGCAGCAUGGAUGAGCGAGGGGUGCUAGUUGAGAGAACCAACAAUCCAAGAAAAAGAAAGCGUAAUGAAAAAUAAUGGGCCAAAAACCAGAACAAGGAAGAUCAUAACACCGCUCCUGGGAAGCAACCAGCCAUUGGAUGCCAGCACAUGCCUCACAGCUUUUGUAAGGCAUCUUUGCUGACAGAAGGAGACAUCACAGAUACUUUCCAGGACUGCUACAGAGACUCGAACAACCGCGGCAAGAUUCAUUCAUCAUGUGCCACUUACAACUCAAUCCAGUCAUGCGCCAUCGAGGAAAUGGUCCACAACCAAGGAGAGAGCGGAACCAUGCCCCAACAUUUCAAAUAACGACACAGCAAGGGGAAAAUGUGGAGGUGUGCUCCGGAAGAUUCAGAUCCAUCCUUGUACUUGGUAGGAAACGUCUGGGCAACCUAAUGAAGUACGCCUGCCAUUCAAAAUCACAGAGGCCAAACGCAUCUACAUGAGACCA